GUACUACUAGCUUAACGGUAGAGCUCCCCAAUGUCACUGGGGCGGGUGUCAGUUCGAUUCUGAUGUAGUGCG
rnacentral:tRNA from 1 species